GACGAACCAUGAUGUCAUUUAUUUGGUGUUGUGGGGAAUCAGGACUGUUACUUUGAAAAAAUUAGAGUGUUUAAAGCAGGCUCACGCUUGAAUACAUUAGCAUGGAAUAAUGAAAUAGGACGUUUGAUUCUAUUUUGUUGGUUUCUAGGAUCGACGUAAUGAUUAAUAGGGAUAGUUGGGGGCAUUAGUAUUCAAUUGUCAGAGGUGAAAUUCUUGGAUUUAUUGAAGACUGACUACUGCGAAAGCAUUUGCCAAGGAUGUUUUCAUUAAUCAAGAACGAAAGUUAGGGGAUCGAAGACGAUCAGAUACCGUCGUAGUCUUAACCAUAAACUAUGCCGACUAGGGAUCGGAUGAUGUUAAUUUUUUAAUGACUCAUUCGGCGCCUUACG
rnacentral:rRNA from 1 species